GCCCGAGUGGUGAAAUCGGUAGACACAAGGGAUUUAAAAUCCCUCGACGUACGCGUCGUGCCGGUUCGAUUCCGGCCUCGGGCACCA
rnacentral:tRNA from 1 species